ACGGCCCACCAAACCUUCGAUGGAUAGGGGUUCUGAGAGGAAGGUCCCCCACAUUGGAACUGAGACACGGUCCAAACUCCUACGGGAGGCAGCAGUGAGGAAUAUUGGUCAAUGGACGAGAGUCUGAACCAGCCAAGUAGCGUGAAGGAUGACUGCCCUAUGGGUUGUAAACUUCUUUUAUAUGGGAAUAAAGUGGUCCACGUGUGGAUUUUUGUAUGUACCAUAUGAAUAAGGAUCGGCUAACUCCGUGCCAGCAGCCGCGGUAAUACGGAGGAUCCGAGCGUUAUCCGGAUUUAUUGGGUUUAAAGGGAGCGUAGGUGGACAGUUAAGUCAGUUGUGAAAGUUUGCGGCUCAACCGUAAAAUUGCAGUUGAUACUGGCUGUCUUGAGUACAGUAGAGGUGGGCGGAAUUCGUGGUGUAGCGGUGAAAUGCUUAGAUAUCACGAAGAACUCCGAUUGCGAAGGCAGCUCACUGGACUGCAACUGACACUGAUGCUCGAAAGUGUGGGUAUCAAACAGGAUUAGAUACCCUGGUAGUCCACACAGUAAACGAUGAAUACUCGCUGUUUGCGAUAUACAGUAAGCGGCCAAGCGAAAGCAUUAAGUAUUCCACCUGGGGAGUACGCCGGCAACGGUGAAACUCAAAGGAAUUGACGGGGGCCCGCACAAGCGGAGGAACAUGUGGUUUAAUUCGAUGAUACGCGAGGAACCUUACCCGGGCUUAAAUUGCAUUUGAAUAAUCAAGAAAUUGGUUAGUCGUAAGACAAAUGUGAAGGUGCUGCAUGGUUGUCGUCAGCUCGUGCCGUGAGGUGUCGGCUUAAGUGCCAUAACGAGCGCAACCCUUAUCUUCAGUUACUAACAGGUCAUGCUGAGGACUCUGGAGAGACUGCCGUCGUAAGAUGUGAGGAAGGUGGGGAUGACGUCAAAUCAGCACGGCCCUUACGUCCGGGGCUACACACGUGUUACAAUGGGGGGUACAGAAGGCCGCUACCUGGUGACAGGAU
rnacentral:rRNA from 1 species